CAGUAUUUGUUAUAAUUAAUUUAGAAUUCAAGCAAAUUGUUUUGAUGGCGGUUGGCUGUUGAUCUGGAAAGGAUAUGGCACGAAAUCUUUUAGAAAGAGAAGCAGUUAAUGAGCGUUUACCAGGCAUUACAAAUAAUGUUGGCAUUCGCCAUGUUUAUUAUUGUGCUGUUAGAUUAUAU
rnacentral:sRNA from 1 species